GAGCACUGUUUCGGCUAGGGGGCCAUCCCGGCUUACCAACCCGAUGCAAACUGCGAAUACCGGAGAAUGUUAUCACGGGAGACACACGGCGGGUGCUAACGUCCGUCGUGAAGAGGGAAACAACCCAGACCGCCAGCUAAGGUCCCAAAGUCAUGGUUAAGUGGGAAACGAUGUGGGAAGGCCCAGACAGCCAGGAUGUUGGCUUAGAAGCAGCCAUCAUUUAAAGAAAGCGUAAUAGCUCACUGGUCGAGUCGGCCUGCGCGGAAGAUGUAACGGGGCUAAACCAUG
rnacentral:rRNA from 2 species